UACGUAGGGUGCGAGCGUUGUCCGGAUUUAUUGGGCGUAAAGAGCGUGUAGGCGGCCAGGUAGGUCUGCUGUGAAAACUCGAGGCUUAACCUCGAGCUGUCGGCGGAAACCAUCUGGCUAGAGUCCGGAAGAGGAGAAUGGAAUUCAUGGUGUAGCGGUGAAAUGCGUAGAUAUCAUGAAGAACACCAGUCGCGAAGGCGGUUUCCUGGGACAUCAUUGACGCUCAUGCUCGAAAGUGUGGGGAGCAAACAGG
rnacentral:rRNA from 1 species